GCGUAUAUUUAAGUUGUUGCAGUUAAAAAGCUCGUAGUCGGAUUUUGGCUGAGAACGGUCGGUCCGCCGUUAGGUGUGCACUGACUGGUCUCAGCUUCCUGGUGAGGAGGUGUGCUUCACGGCCACUUAGUCACCGUGGUUACUUUGAAAAAAUUAGAGUGUUCAAAGCGGGCUUACGCUUGAAUAUAUUAGCAUGGAAUAACACCAUAGGACUCCUAUCCUAUUUCGUUGGUCUCGGGACGGGAGUAAUGAUUAAGAGGAACAGUUGGGGGCAUUCGUAUUUCAUUGUCAGAGGUGAAAUUCUUGGAUUUAUGAAAGACGAACUUCUGCGAAAGCAUUUGCCAAGGAUGUUUUCAUUGAUCAAGAACGAAAGUUGGGGGCUCGAAGAUGAUUAGAUACCAUCCUAGUCUCAACCAUAAACGAUGCCGACUAGGGAUUGGCGGAUGUUAAUUGAUGACUUCGCCAGCACCUUAUGAGAAAUCAAAGUUUUUGGGUUCCGGGGGGAGUAUGGUCGCAAGGCUGAAACUUAAAGGAAUUGACGGAAGG
rnacentral:rRNA from 1 species